rfam:Triticum aestivum genome assembly, contig: Triticum_aestivum_CS42_TGACv1_scaffold_225078_3B
UUAAUACCCCCUCCGUCCCAAAAUUCUUGUCUUAGAUUCGUCUAGAUACGUAUUUAGACAAAUCUAAGACAUGAAUUUUGGGACGGAGGGAGUAUUAG